rnacentral:rRNA from 1 species
ACAUGCAAGUCGAACGAAAGUCUUCGGAUUAUAGUGGGGGACGGGUGAGUAACGCGUGAGGAUCUGCCUAUAGGUUGGGGACAACAGAUGGAAACGUCUGCUAAUACCCAAUGUGCCGAGAGGUGAAAGCUUUAGUGCCUGUAGAUGAGCUCGCGUCCGAUUAGAUAGUUGGUAGGGUAAAGGCUUACCAAGGCGACGAUCGGUACCUGGUCUGAGAGGAUGAUCAGGCACACUGGGACUGAGACGCGGCCCAGACUCCUACGGGAGGCAGCAGUGGGGAAUUUUCCGCAAUGGGCGAAAGCCUGACGGAGCAAUACCGCUGUGCGGGACAGAAAGCUUUUGGGUCGUAAACCGCUUCUGUUAGGGAAGAACACAAUGACGGUACCUAACGAAUCAGCAUCGGCUAACUCCGUGCCAGCAGCCGCGGUAAUACGGGGGAUGCAAGCGUUAUCCGGAAUUAUUGGGCGUAAAGCGUCCGCAUGUGGUGUAUCAAGUCUGCUGUCAAAUCGUAGGGCUUAACCCUAUAAAGGCAGUGGAAACUGAGAGACUAGAGUACAGUAGGGGUAGCGGGAAUUCCCAGUGUAGCGGUGAAAUGCGUAGA